GACGAACGCUGGCGGCGUGCCUAAUACAUGCAAGUCGAGCGGAGUUUUUAAAAGCUUGCUUUUAAAAACUCAGCGGCGGACGGGUGAGUAACACGUGGGCAACCUGCCCUGUAGACUGGGAUAACUUCGGGAAACCGAAGCUAAUACCGGAUAAUCAUAGAAGUUGCAUAGCUUCUAUGUAAAAGUUGGGUUUACCUAACACUACAGGAUGGGCCCGCGUCGCAUUAGCUAGUUGGUAAGGUAACGGCUUACCAAGGCGACGAUGCGUAGCCGACCUGAGAGGGUGAUCGGCCACACUGGGACUGAGACACGGCCCAGACUCCUACGGAAGGCAGCAGUAGGGAAUCUUCCGCAAUGGACGAAAGUCUGACGGAGCAACGCCGCGUGGGCGAUGAAGGCCUUCGGGUCGUAAAGCUCUGUUGUUAGGGAAGAACAAGUGCUAUUCGAAUAGGGUGGCACCUUGA
rnacentral:rRNA from 1 species